ensembl:lncRNA
UGUGUGUGUGUGUGUGUGUGAGAGAGAGAGAGAGAGAGAGAGAGAGAGAGAGAGAGAGAGAGAUGUUACACUGUAAGAAGUUGUAGUUGAAACUCCGCCUUUUCUCCACCGGAAAUGACUCAAAAGUGAAAGUGAAAGCGGAUAAUUUUUGUGUUGAGAAAAACGCGAUGCUCUUUGGAACAGAAUCGCACAGGACUCAGCUAAACUAAUACUGAGACAGCAGACAUUAGACUUUCUGAAAUAAUGUCGGGGGAGUGUGAGGAACUCAGAACAUCUGAAAUGAGUCAUCAAGAGGAGCAGCACAAGAUCCAAAGUGGAACUGUGGAAAGGUCAAAUUCUCCUGUAUCCAGCUGCGUGUCCUUUAAGAGUGACCGCUCACUGCCACUUCCUCCCGAAUUUAAAGGUGGAACAUCCUCUGUGGAAAGGUAUUCCUUAUCCUGCUCAUUAAAAUCACAGCCUCUCAUUUGUUCCUAUUCAUAUUUAUUCAUGUUCUUCCUAUUCAUAACAUGAGAUAUGAGAUGGUGUUAAAUGAAGGAAGUUUUAGAAGUAGUCGAGCAUGUACUUUUAAUGCAUUAUAAUGCAC